GGAAGGACCAGAAACAAUCUUUGCCAUGGGCCUUGGGGCUCUGGUCCGUGGCCUCCUGUUGGGGGGCUCCAAAUGAUUUGGGGAGACGCCUCAGAAGCCUGCCACCACCCCGCACCUGCCCAGCCGCUGCCCAUGCCCACCCCACUGCUCUUGCCAUUUCCACCACUGUCAUGUGAGUGGCUGGGGGGUGGGGUGAGCCAAGUAGGCCUCCCCUGUAGUGGCAGCAGCAGGCGCGGUGGCUGGUGGGCUUGUCCAACCGGCCCUGAAUAGAGCUGCUGCUACCUUAGAGGCUGGGCGGAAAUCGGGACCCUCCCUCCAUGCUCAUUUCCCAGAAGCACCUGCCUGCCUGCCAGCCCGGCCCCCCUCCCUGCUAGGCCUGGUGCCAGGCCCCCCCAAGCUGCUGCACACUGGACGGGGAAGUCCAGACUGAGAGGGGAAGAAGUUGGACUGUCUGGAAACACACAAGCAGGGGCCAUCUGGGAGGGGAGAAAGAGCACAAGUCCCCCACUGUUGCCCCCUGGAGCAGGCCAGGCAGCCUCAGAAAGCGCCUCUCCCCCAGGAGGAUCGGAGUGACAACCCGCUCGGCUUCCUGUGAGCCACCCACCCCUCCCACAGUGAGAUCAGCCCUGGUGCCCCACAAACCCCAUACAGCGCAUGGCCAGCAGAUGCUCGCAGCCCUGGUGUUGCACCUUGGCUCUGCCUGCAGCCCCAGCAAGGCAAGGAUCUCUACCGCAGAAGCCCAUCCGUGGCAGGAAGCCUUUUCUAGCCACCUGUGGCUAGAAACUAGAUUCUAAUAGCAUACAAUGCUGAACAAAUUACAGCAAUAAAGAGUGUAGUCCACUGUCUUGCAUACCUAACAAAGCCAAAAGAUGGCUGAAGCAAGUUCGUUGAAAUAGGAUUGUAAUGAAAGCUCCCACCCGGGCUGGGUGCACAAUUUAGGGCGCAGUCAGGUCAGUGUGUGGGGAGAAUGUGCCUCCCCUCUGCUCAGAGCACAGGUUAAGCUUCUUGCUCUCAGCAGAUGCCCUCCGUGGUGAACCCUCCCCUGUCCAGAUGAGACCAGAGAUCUCACAGCUCCCUUCCCCCGCCCCUGCCAGACCUGCCCCAAAAAAGAAAAAGGCGAACACUUUGCUGGGAGUGCCAGCAAGCUCCACUUGUCCCUACUGUCUCUGCACGCCUCUGCACCGUGGAAACUGCUGCUUUUCCAGCGAGAGGGAGAGGUGGGGAUCAAUCUGGAGAAGAGGGGAAAAAGGAGAGGGAGGCAGUAGACUUGACCUUCAGAUCCAAACAUGCCAAAGACCCUGGGUACCAAAUAUCAUUGCCCAAAGUGCUGCAAAUGAGAUGCAAGAUUCAAAGGCAGCAACAGUGGUGAUGAUGGCCCUGCUACUACAUUUCACUGGAAUACUGAACAAGCAAUACUCUUAAUACUUAAGUGUUGGAAAAGCACUUUCCAGUGUGGCAAAAUACAGAGCAUCUUCAAGUAAUUGGUGCAGGUGUGUAGUCUUGGAGACUAACAAGCAUAUUGUUCCUGCAACAGGAUGGCAAAGUUUUAUACAAUACAGUCUCCAACUCCUCCUAUCCAUAUUCUCUCCUGCCUCAGAUUCCUGCAUCAACCAAAAGCCUGGAGAAUGUACAUGUGAACGUACACAUACACACACACUUACUUGCAAGGAACAAAUUAUACAUGAGAAGAGUUGAGAAAAUUAUUUGAUUUGGUCAAACUCUCCAUUUUCGGAAGCCUAUUAAGUUCAGUGUUUGUUUUAAAACAUUGUUUUAAAAUUUUUAAUUGUUGUAAUGUUUUAACUUUUUGCUGUCAUUUAUUUUAACUAAUGUCUUAAUUUUUCUGUCAUCAUUUAUUUUGUUUUGUUGUAAACUGCCCAGAGACAUAAGUUUUGGGCAGUAUAAAAAUAUGUUAAAUAAAUAAAUAAAUAAGAUGUAUUGCUAGUUCUUAAUUGCAUUAUACGGAUGUUUUCCGAGUUUGCUCUAAAAAACAGUUUCUUCUGUAUAUGUGAAAUACUGCUGAAGCCUACAUACUUUCUUAAGCCCAGAUAAUAAAUCUUUCUUUUUGUUUGGUA